CUACAUAAGAGGUCUGCCUGCCCAGUGACUAUAUGUUUAACGGCCGCGGUACUUUGACCGUGCGAAGGUAGCGCAAUCACUUGUCUUUUAAAUGAAGACCUGUAUGAAUGGCACGACGAGGGCUUAACUGUCUCCUUUUUCCAGUCAAUGAAAUUGAUCUUCCCGUGCAGAAGCGGGAAUAAUAUCAUAAGACGAGAAGACCCUGUGGAGCUUUAGACACUAAAUCAGCCCUUGUCCAAAAUCCUAAUUAAAGGAAUGAACACUAGAGUGAGACCUGAUCCAAUGUCUUCGGUUGGGGCGACCUUGGGGAAAGAAAAAUCCCCCAUGCGGAACAGAAAUACUGUAUUUCCAAAACUAAGAGAGACCACUCAAAAGUAUCAAAAAUUUUGACCAACUAUAUGGAUCCGGCUUAACGCCGAUCAACGGACCGAGUUACCCCAGGGAUAACAGCGCAAUCCUCUUUUAGAGCCCAUAUCGACCAGAAGGUUUACGAACUCGAUGUUGAUCAGACACUCCUAAUGGUGCAAACGCUAUUAAGGUUCCUUGGUCCACGGAAUUAAGUCCU
rnacentral:rRNA from 1 species